rnacentral:rRNA from 1 species
UACGUAGGUGGCAAGCGUUGUCCGGAAUUACUGGGCGUAAAGAGCGCGCAGGCGGCUGGUCAAGUCCGAUGUGAAAGCUCCCGGCUUAACUGGAAAUUGCAUCGGAAACUGAUCGGCUUGAAGGUGGGAGAGGUAGUGGAAUUCCCGGUGUAGUGGUGAAAUGCGUAGAUAUCCGGAGGAACACCGUGGCGAAGGCGGAUCUCUGGGCCGAUACUGACGCUGAGAGCGAAAGCGUGGGAGCGAACGAGAGAUUGAUA